rnacentral:rRNA from 1 species
UACAGAGGUCUCAAGCGUUGUUCGGAUUCAUUGGGCGUAAAGGGUGCGUAGGCGGCGCCGUAAGUCGGGUGUGAAAUUUCGGAGCUUAACUCCGAAACUGCAUUCGAUACUGCGGUGCUUGAGGACUGGAGAGGAGACUGGAAUUCAUGGUGUAGCAGUGAAAUGCGUAGAGAUCAUGAGGAAGACCAGUGGCGAAGGCGGGUCUCUGGACAGUUCCUGACACUGAGGCACGAAGGCCAGGGGAGCAAACGGG